UAAUCCCUGGGACAUUUCAUAUACCAGAGCUGAGUGAGACCCUGGCCUCUUUAUCACUGCCUCAGAAACCUGUAAAUUGAAAAUCAAGUAUGCAAUAUGGCUCUUUACUUCUUCUAUUGGUAAUGCAUAAAAAAAUUCAAGAUGAUAUUUGCAACGAUACAACAUGAACCAAUUUAUGAAAUUUAAUGUCCCAAAGAAAAUUCAGCAUGCGUGAAUAAGAAUACAAUGAAGAAAAAGUUACUGUAAUUAUAAAACUUAUAACCAUUAGGUUAUUUAUGUUAUAUAUAUGUAUAUAUAGUGCAUCUUUUUGUACAUCUUUAAUAAGCAAUUUAAGAAAAUCAUUUUAUGUGAAGUGACUGAGAUAACCAGAGAUAAGAAAUUAAAAUGAAUUAUUUGGCAGCCACUGUAUAGUCACAUUUGAUUCAGUUCUACUAUUGAAAUUGCCUCUGCAUUGUGAGCAGUUAGAAAACACUUUCUCAGCUGAUCAGCAUCUAUUUCUGAAGGUGUAGUUAUGGCUAAUGUGCAUAGUCACAAAACAUCAUGGUCUUUCUUCAAGCAUCAAUCCAUGGAGAAGUAUUCAGACAAAUAAAUACCUUUUAAUAAGUCAAGUUCCAGCUGUGAAUUUCAAGGCAAUCAGAAGAGAUACACAUAAAGAGACAAGGAAAUAAUAUAAACUAAAUAAGUCCUAUAAAACCGGAAAUUUACAGACUUCUAUAUCCUCAGGAAUCCACAGGAUGUCCACAAAUGUAUUUAGAGGGCAUGACUUUUCAGAGUUAACAUAAAAUCAGGUUCAUUAUCUUCCUGUAAUUUAGUAUGUCCUCUUAUAAGAAUUCUAAAUAGAGGGUGGCUAGAAUAGCUGAAUUAAUCUAAACUUCUUUUCCAUCAAAAGUUCAUUACAAGUGCCCUUGGCUCUGUUCUCAUCUCCUUCAUCCCUGCAUACAUAUCCUGCAUGACUUCAAAGAGAAAUCUCCACACAGGAGAUAGGAAAGGGAGGCCAGGGGAUGAGAGCAGGGCCACCUCUGUUAAAAAGAGAGGCUUAAUUAAGUACAUAUUUGAAGAGUGCCUUUGACAUGAAAAAGCAGUAAGAAAAUUCAGUACUAUUAACACUGACCGAGAAGUACUUGGUCCUGAGAGCAAAGCCUUAUAAAGAUUAAGAGAAAAAGUUUAUAUUCUCCUCCUUCAGGCAAGUAUUUUUCAAUGGGGUUCUUAUUGAUCUGUCAUCCUAAGGGAGUCUGUAAAUCUACCAUCUGCAUAUUGAUUCCUGGUUAGUAUAGAGUCGGAGAAAACAGAGAAUAAAAGAUACAUCUUUCUUAAAAACCAAAUCAAAUUGCAGCCAUAUAUGCUUGAAAUGAACACUCAUUUCUUUCCUAAAAUGCUUAAAUAUAUGUACCAUUUUGAGGAAAAAACACUUUUUUUUUUUUACAGUAAGAGGAAAAUCUUUGUUUUCAUUCCCCCCCCCUCUUUUGAAAUUAAACUGGCAGGCUUUAUUAUCAAAAUGACCAAUGUUAAUCUAAUUGAAUAUGAAAAAUGGAAGUUUAAGCUUAGCCACCAGUAUUUCACAGGCAUAAAAUUCCAGAGUGAGUUGCCAGAUCCGAAUGCAAAUCACUUAAGUCAAAUAACAGGUUAGACAUCACUCUGGUGAUGGAUGAGGUGUGUUAAUACAUUUUUUGGGAGAUAGAAACGUGUACCCUGUAGACACCUGCAGUCUUGUAAAACAUCAUUUCCUCAAUAAAACAAGUUUCUAAUACCCAGAAUAAAAGUAUUGAGAAAGUAGAAUAAAAACAGACUAUUUGUGCAGAGAGUUCCCUCAAGAGUUGUUGCUGGACUCUAAGCCCCAUUACUCACCCCAAUGGUGCAGAAUGGUAGUCAUCUGCCCUACCUGUAACCUCGAGAGCAGGGCACUGGGAGAACUUGGAUAAUGUCCACACGGUUUAGAGAGACCUCUGGAUUGUUAUCAGAUAAAUUUGCUGACAUUAUUUUUUUUUAGAGCAAGACCAUGCUACUCUGAAGGGGCAGGGUCCAGAGAAGAGGAUUUAUAUAUCUGAGAAAUAACUCAUUCUCACCAGUGAAGGGUAAUAAUUCUCUUUUUUUUUAAAGCAUUUUUUAUAUUUAUUUAAUUUAUUUAUUCCCUUUUGUUGCCCUUGUUGUUUUAUUGUUGUAGUUAUUAUUGUUGUUGUCGUUGUUGGAUAGGACAGAGAGAAAUGGAGAGAGGAGGGGAAGACAGAGAGGAGGAGAGAAAGAUAGACACCUGCAGACCUGCUUCACCGCCUGUGAAGCAACGCUUAACCUGCUGCACUACAGCCCGACUCCCCUCUCUCUUUUUUUUUUUUUUUCUUUAGAUGUAAGUGACAAAAGUGGAGCCAUUUUAAAUUCAGUCCUUCAAGACAUUCAAUAUAGAAAACAGGUCUUCAGAAUCUAUGACAUAAACAGUUGAGGGGUUAGCAAUGAGAGACAAGCAGACAUUGGGGGGGAAAAUAUACUGGACUACAAGAUACAUCUAAAAGCAAAAGAAAACUGAUUGUAUCUACCACAUAGUUCAGUGGUUACACUAUCCUAAAAAGCAAUUACGUUAACCUAACAAGAUACAUUAUAUUAUCCUCAAAAGAUAAAGAAAGGAAAGAUAUAUGCAAUCCCAUAUUCACUGCCUCAUUAUUUACACUAGCCAAGAUUAGAAAAACUAAGUGUGAGAGGAUGAACUGUAUAAGGAAGUUGUAGUCUAUAUACAUAACAAAAUACUGUUUAAGUCUAGGAAAAAUGAAGACUUGUCAUUUGCAAAGACAUGGAUAGAAAUGGAGGGUGGGAGAGCCGGGGUAGCGCAGCGGGCUAAGUGCACAGGGUAUAAAGCGCAAGGUCAGGCAUUAGGAUCCUUGUUCG